rnacentral:lncRNA from 1 species
GCACCCACCUGGAGAGAAAGGGAAAACAACAUGAGUUUCAAGAAAAAGGACAAUUCAGGUUCAAGCGAUCAGGCACUCACCUGUAGAAUAAAAGGAGGACAGUUCAAAGGAAAAACAGUUUCAAGAAAAAGACAAUUCAGGUUCAAGCAAUCAGGUACCCACCUGUAGAAACAAGGGAAGAAAGUUCAAAGGAAAAGCAGUCGUAAGAGCAUGUAGUUCAAGUUCGGCAAUCAGAAGCCCACCUGGAGAACAAAGGGAAAACAAAUCAAGUUCCAAGGGAAUACGGUUAAAGUUUUGGCAAUCAUGCGCCCACGUGGAGAGCAAGGGAAUACAAUUCAAGUGUUGGUAAUCAGGAGCCCACCUGGAGAACAAAGGGAGGGCAACUCAAGUGUUGGUAAUCAGGAGCCUACCUGGAGAACAAAGGGAGAGCAAUUCAACUGUUGGUAAUCAGGAGCCCACCUGGAGAACAAAUGGAGAGCAAUUCAAGCGUCGGUAAUCAGGAGCCCACUUGGAGAACAAUGGGAAGAACAAUUCAAGUGUUGAUAAUCAGUAUCCCACCUGGAGAACAAAGGGAAGAGCAAUUCAAGUGUCGGUAAUCAGGAGCCCACCUGGAGAACAAAGGGAGGCAGUUCGAGUUUCGAGGAAAAAUCGUGUAAACGUUGUUAAUUAGGAGCCCACCUGGAAAACAAAGGGAAAGCAGCAAUGUUCGAAGGAAGACGAUUCAAGUUCAGUAAUCAGGUGCCCGCCUGAAAAAUAAAGGGAAAUCGCCUCAGAAUAUAAUUCAAACCAGCAGCAAAGGAAUUUCACCUAGAGAGUACAAGUCAACAAAGCAACAUAAACUGCAAGAUUAUGUUUGAAGAUAUAGAUAGGAAUCUUGUAAUUCAUAGAUCUUAGUUUAGUCUAGAUUCUUUUAUAUUGUCUUGGUGUAAUAAGGAGUUCAGCAAGCAGUAGCAGCAACAGCAACAGUGAAAUCACAGCUUCCUGGUAGUCCCAGCUACCGAAACUUUUUGAACUACACUGACCUGAUUCCUUUAUGGUCAAGGAUAUGUAGGCAACCUCAGAAGCAGGGUGCGAUCAAACCUUUCAAAAAGCUUCCCACGGAGUAUUCAAAUGGGCAAAAUCGCUCGUAUCCGCUCACUUUAUCUUUGCACGAAAACUCUUCAUGUUUCCGAACAAAAAGGGGCAGCUGUGAGCAUGUGAUUUUUGCCCUAUAUGAAAUACUCCUAUAAAAUCCAAGAAUAGAUUUUUUUCCCCAAUUUUUUUCCACUUUAUAGGAUUUUUUGUAGGAUUUUAUUAAUUAUUUGCAUUUUUCUGUGCAUGUUUAAUAUUUAUUUAAAUCAUAAAAAUACAAAAAUACUCUGC